CUAGAGGAGAAGAGCAAUGGCGCUGCUGCUGCUGCUGGCGCUCCUGCCGAUCGCGAUGAUUCUCGUCGAUGCCGCGGACAACAAUCCGGUAUUCAAUCCGUGCCGCCAGUUGCUGCCGGUCGGGGGCAAGGAUUCGAUCAGCAUUGCGGUAGGGUACACUGGCGCGCCCUCGGUUUGGUACAACAACUCGGAUCCGUCGCUCAAUCAGCUCUCGCCUUGCGACAACGCGCUCGUUGCUGUGAGUGUUGUCUGAGAACUCGUGUUGAUCGAGCUUUCUUUGGUUUGCUGUGUUGGGCAGAAAAUGCCGGCGAAUUCCCGGGUUGCCGUGUUCAGGCCUCUGCUGGAUCAAAUCUCGAUGCUGCGGACGAACAAUGCGAGCUAUCUGGAUCUCCACACUGCCGUAAUCUAUCAAACUCCCACGAUCGAAGAGCACAUUUCCUGGGAAUGCUACUGUGGUUGCGUAUGCUGGGAACCCCACAAUUGUCUCGACUCCAAAAUACUUCCUCAUUCCUUACGGGAGAAUACCGAUCUACACGCUCGUGAUUGAGCUCAAGAAAGGAGUGCUCAAGAAUUUGCUUUGGAAGGACGAUAAGUGUGCAUCCUGCGGUGGAAAGACGAGCGCUUCGUGCUUCCAAGGCGCCUGUUCGACGUCAGAGUCGACUUGUCUGGAUCCAUCGUCGACUAUUGCGUCGGUAAAAGGCGCUGAUCCGUGCCGAUUUGCCAUAAAUGUCGCGUUCUCUGGGACCGACAAAAACAACGUGGUGAUGGACUCGUGGUACCAGGUGAAGUCCAUGGAGCAGUACUCCAUCACAUCGCUCUUUGGACAGGCCGGCAAUGCGCUAUCCCAAGUUGGUCUGUCCAUCAUAGAUGACCAACUUGGUGGGUGACAUAAUCGACCAACCAACCAAGUUCCUGGGUUUAUGGGGGGGAUGGGGGGCUGCUCAUGCUGUUUGCCGCAUUCCGGCUACUCGAUGCGCUCCUCGUUCGUAAGAGGAGCACGUUUUCGGGUAAUCCUAAUUCGGAGCUGGUUUCCAGAAAAAAAUUGUGUUUUUUCAGCGCCUCUCACUUGGAAUUCAUUGCAACUUCUUCCAUGUUGCUGCGCUCUAUAUUUCAUCUAGUGCAUGGUGAUCGAUCAGUUCCUCAUUGCCUGCUCGCCCGCCGAACGUUUUGCCUCUGGUGGCGCCAAUCUCGUGUACCUUUAUGACUGCAGCGACAAUUUCAGCCAUUGCAGAUUGGUUUCCGGACAAGAUCGAGAAAGCUGGCCAACUUCGGCACCGUCACCACCGCAGUGGGUCGUCAGGAUGCUCUUACAGAAGUGGAGAUUCUAACAGGAAGGUAGUGACGUUACAUUAGCAGGAGUCCAGUUACCCUGCGCUCGUAGGUGGAUCUGCGAAGCUCGAAGCUGGCCACGGGCUCGCGAAUGGGAUGAUCUCUACUAGAUCGCGGGAUCUGUAGGUGCUAACUCAGCUCACAGAGCAAGUUGGAGAUGGAGAGGCUCGUGCUGUAUAUCGAGUCGCUACGGCACAGGGAACUAUGUUUCGAGGAGCACAGGGCCAAAGGACAAGUCAUACGUAUAAAUUCUCGGACAUGAUCAAGGAUCAAACAAGCUUAAGCCACAUUGAGCUCUAGUGUGGAUGACGAAUUAAAGCUGGAUCCAGGAUAGCAGGGUCGCUCCAGAUA